GAUGAACGCUAGCGGCAGGCUUAAUACAUGCAAGUCGUGGGGCAGCAGGGGUAGCAAUACCCGCUGGCGACCGGCAAACGGGUGCGGAACACGUACGCAACCUUCCUUUAACUGGAGAAUAGCCCCUCGAAGAGGGAGUUAAUACUCCGUAACAUAUAGAUGUGGCAUCACAAUUAUAUUAUAGCUCCGGCGGUUAAGAUGGGCGGUGCGCCUGAUUAGAUAGUUGGCGAGGGUAACGGGCCUACCCAAGUCUGCGAUCAGUAACUGGUGUGAGAGCACGACCAGUCACACGGGCACUGAGACACGGGCCCGGACUCCUACGGGAGGCAGCAGUAAGGAAUAUUGGUCAAUGGACGCAAGUCUGAACCAGCCA
rnacentral:rRNA from 1 species